GGUUAAGCGACUAAGCGUACACGGUGGAUGCCCUGGCAGUCAGAGGCGAUGAAGGACGUGCUAAUCUGCGAAAAGCGUCGGUAAGGUGAUAUGAACCGUUAUAACCGGCGAUGUCCGAAUGGGGAAACCCAGUGCAAUUCGUUGCACUAUCGUUAACUGAAUACAUAGGUUAACGAGGCGAACCGGGGGAACUGAAACAUCUAAGUACCCCGAGGAAAAGAAAUCAACCGAGAUUCCCCCAGUAGCGGCGAGCGAACGGGGAGCAGCCCAGAGUCUGAAUCAGCUUGUGUGUUAGUGGAACGGUCUGGAAAGUCCGACGGUACAGGGUGAUAGUCCCGUACACCAAAAUGCACAGGCUGUGAACUCGAAGAGUAGGGCGGGACACGUGGUAUCCUGUCUGAAUAUGGGGGGACCAUCCUCCAAGGCUAAAUACUCCUGACUGACCGAUAGUGAACCAGUACCGUGAGGGAAAGGCGAAAAGAACCCCGGCGAGGGGAGUGAAAAAGAACCUGAAACCGUGUACGUACAAGCAGUGGGAGCACCUUCGGGUGUGACUGCGUACCUUUUGUAUAAUGGGUCAGCGACUUAUAUUCUGUAGCAAGGUUAACCGUAUAGGGGAGCCGCAGGGAAACCGAGUCUUAACUGGGCGUUAAGUUGCAGGGUAUAGACCCGAAACCCGGUGAUCUAGCCAUGGGCAGGUUGAAGGUUGGGUAACACUAACUGGAGGACCGAACCGACUAAUGUUGAAAAAUUAGCGGAUGACUUGUGGCUGGGGGUGAAAGGCCAAUCAAACCGGGAGAUAGCUGGUUCUCCCCGAAAGCUAUUUAGGUAGCGCCUCGUGAACUCAUCUUCGGGGGUAGAGCACUGUUUCGGCUAGGGGGUCAUCCCGACUUACCAACCCGAUGCAAACUACGAAUACCGAAGAAUGUUAUCACGGGAGACACACGGCGGGUGCUAACGUCCGUCGUGAAGAGGGAAACAACCCAGACCGCCAGCUAAGGUCCCAAAGUCAUGGUUAAGUGGGAAACGAUGUGGGAAGGCACAGACAGCCAGGAUGUUGGCUUAGAAGCAGCCAUCAUUUAAAGAAAGCGUAAUAGCUCACUGGUCGAGUCGGCCUGCGCGGAAGAUGUAACGGGGCUAAACCAUGCACCGAAGCUGCGGCAGCGACACUAUGUGUUGUUGGGUAGGGGAGCGUUCUGUAAGCCUGCGAAGGUGACCUGUGAGGGUUGCUGGAGGUAUCAGAAGUGCGAAUGCUGACAUAAGUAACGAUAAAGCGGGUGAAAAGCCCGCUCGCCGGAAGACCAAGGGUUCCUGUCCAACGUUAAUCGGGGCAGGGUGAGUCGACCCCUAAGGCGAGGCCGAAAGGCGUAGUCGAUGGGAAACAGGUUAAUAUUCCUGUACUUGGUGUUACUGCGAAGGGGGGACGGAGAAGGCUAUGUUAGCCGGGCGACGGUUGUCCCGGUUUAAGCAUGUAGGCUGAUUGUCCAGGCAAAUCCGGAUAAUCAAGGCUGAGGUGUGAUGACGAGGCACUACGGUGCUGAAGUAACAAAUGCCCUGCUUCCAGGAAAAGCCUCUAAGCAUCAGGUAACAUCAAAUCGUACCCCAAACCGACACAGGUGGUCAGGUAGAGAAUACCAAGGCGCUUGAGAGAACUCGGGUGAAGGAACUAGGCAAAAUGGUGCCGUAACUUCGGGAGAAGGCACGCUGGUGUGUAGGUGAAGCCCCUGCGGGUGGAGCUGAGACCAGUCGAAGAUACCAGCUGGCUGCAACUGUUUAUUAAAAACACAGCACUGUGCAAACACGAAAGUGGACGUAUACGGUGUGACGCCUGCCCGGUGCCGGAAGGUUAAUUGAUGGGGUUAUCCGUAAGGAGAAGCUCUUGAUCGAAGCCCCGGUAAACGGCGGCCGUAACUAUAACGGUCCUAAGGUAGCGAAAUUCCUUGUCGGGUAAGUUCCGACCUGCACGAAUGGCGUAAUGAUGGCCAGGCUGUCUCCACCCGAGACUCAGUGAAAUUGAACUCGCUGUGAAGAUGCAGUGUACCCGCGGCAAGACGGAAAGACCCCGUGAACCUUUACUAUAGCUUGACACUGAACAUUGAGCCUUGAUGUGUAGGAUAGGUGGGAGGCUUUGAAGCGUGGACGCCAGUCUGCGUGGAGCCAACCUUGAAAUACCACCCUUUAAUGUUUGAUGUUCUAACGUUGGCCCCUGACCGGGGUUGCGGACAGUGUCUGGUGGGUAGUUUGACUGGGGCGGUCUCCUCCCAAAGCGUAACGGAGGAGCACGAAGGUUAGCUAAUCCUGGUCGGACAUCAGGAGGUUAGUGCAAUGGCAUAAGCUAGCUUGACUGCGAGCGUGACGGCGCGAGCAGGUGCGAAAGCAGGUCAUAGUGAUCCGGUGGUUCUGAAUGGAAGGGCCAUCGCUCAACGGAUAAAAGGUACUCCGGGGAUAACAGGCUGAUACCGCCCAAGAGUUCAUAUCGACGGCGGUGUUUGGCACCUCGAUGUCGGCUCAUCACAUCCUGGGGCUGAAGUAGGUCCCAAGGGUAUGGCUGUUCGCCAUUUAAAGUGGUACGCGAGCUGGGUUUAGAACGUCGUGAGACAGUUCGGUCCCUAUCUGCCGUGGGCGCUGGAGAAUUGAGGGGGGCUGCUCCUAGUACGAGAGGACCGGAGUGGACGCAUCACUGGUGUUCGGGUUGUCAUGCCAAUGGCACUGCCCGGUAGCUAAAUGCGGAAGAGAUAAGUGCUGAAAGCAUCUAAGCACGAAACUUGCCCCGAGAUGAGUUCUCCCUGAGACUUUAAGUCUCCUGAAGGAACGUUAAAGACGAUGACGUUGAUAGGCCGGGUGUGUAAGCGCAGCGAUGCGUUGAGCUAACCGGUACUAAUGAACCGUGAGGCUUAACCUU
rnacentral:rRNA from 1 species